rnacentral:rRNA from 1 species
UCAAGCAAAAAAGAGCGCAGGGUGGAUGCCUUGGCACUAAGAGCCGAUGAAAGACGUGAUAAGCUGCGAAAAGCUGCGGGGAGGAGCAAAUAUCCACUGAUCCGCAGAUGUCUGAAUGGGGAAACCCGCAUGAGCACACCUCAUGCAUCCAUACGCCAAUCCAUAACGUAUGGAGGGGAACCGCCUGAACUGAAACAUCUAAGUAGGGCGAGGAAGAGAAAGAAAAUUUAUCGAUUUCCAAAGUAGCGGCGAGCGAAAUGGAAAGAGGCCAAACCGGAGUGCGUGCACUCCGGGGUUCGGACCGCAUUUAAGAUUCAGUGAAUCUAGCAGAAAGGUUUUGGGAAAGCCUGCCGGAGAGGGUGAAAGCCCCGUAAGCGAAAGAGGAACUGACUGAGCGGUAUCCAGAGUACAUCGAGACACGAGAAACCUUGAUGGAAUGAGCGGGGACCACCCCGUAAGCCUAAAUACUCCUUAGUGACCGAUAGCGCAUAGUACUGUGAAGGAAAGGUGAAAAGGACCCCGGGAGGGGAGUGAAAGAGAACCUGAAACCCUGUGUUUACAAGCUGUGGGACAUCUUUACAUGAUGAACCGCGUACUUUUUGUAGAACGGUCCGGCGAGUUGCGGAUGCCGGCAAGGUUAAGCACUUAAGGUGUGGAGCCGAAGGGAAACCAAGUCUGAAGAGGGCGUAUAUAGUCAGUAUCCGCAGACCCGAAACCGGGUGAUCUACCCAUGUCCAGGUUGAAGUUGCCGUAAAAGGCAAUGGAGGACCGAACGCACAUCCGUUGAAAAGGGUGGCGAUGAGGUGUGGGUAGGGGAGAAAUUCCAAUCGAACCCGGAGAUAGCUGGUUCUCCUCGAAAUAGCUUUAGGGCUAGCCUCGUUUUAGUCUUAUGGAGGUAGAGCACUGAAUUUCCGCGGGGGCGUCAAAGCUUACCAAAGAAUAUCAAACUCCGAAUGCCAUGUAGAUGAUGAACGGGAGUCAGACUGCACGAGAUAAGUUGGGCAGUCAAAAGGGAAAGAGCCCAGACCGCCAGCCAAGGUCCCAAAGUGUGUGUUAAGUGGAAAAGGAUGUGGGAUCUCCAAGACAACUAGGAUGUUGGCUCAGAAGCAGCCACACAUUCAAAGAGUGCGUAACAGCUCACUAGUCGAGAGGUCCUGCGCCGAAAAUGUCCGGGGCUGAAACACAACACCGAAGCUGCGGAAUUGCGAAUGCAAUUGGUAGAGGAGCAUUCUUAAUACCGACGAAGCUGUACCGGAAGGAGCAGUGGAGGGAUAAGAAGAGAGAAUGCCGGAAUGAGUAGCGAGAGAGAGGUGGGAAUCCUCUCGGCCGAAUAUCCAAGGUUUCCAGAGUAAAGCUGAUCUGCUCUGGGUAAGUCGGGGCCUAAGGCGAGGUCAAGAGACGUAGCCGAUGGACAACAGGUUUAGAUUCCUGUACCGCAUAUAAACAGAACUGUGGGGACGCAUGGGGAGAGCAUGGGCCGGGAAUGGAAAUACCGGUGCAAGCGAAGGAGGUGUGCAGCCGGCAAAUCCGCUGCAUGAGCCGAAAGCGUGACGCGGAGCGAAAUGAAAGUAGCGAAGCAUGUGAGCCCUGUGCCGAGAAAAGCCGCUAUAGCUUUAUAUGUGCCCGUACCGUAAACCGACACAGGUGGAUGAGGAGAGAAUCCUAAGGCCGGCGGAAGAAGUAUUGUUAAGGAACUCGGCAAAAUGACCCCGUAACUUCGGGAGAAGGGGUGCCCACGGGAGUGGGCCGCAGAGAAUAGGCUCAAGCAACUGUUUAGCAAAAACACAGGUCUAUGCGAAACCGAAAGGUGAAGUAUAUGGGCUGACGCCUGCCCGGUGCUGGAAGGUUAAGAGGAGAGGUUAGCGCAAGCGAAGCUUUGAAUUUAAGCCCCAGUAAACGGCGGCCGUAACUAUAACGGUCCUAAGGUAGCGAAAUUCCUUGUCGGGUAAGUUC